rnacentral:rRNA from 1 species
AUACGGAGGGUGCAAGCGUUAAUCGGAAUUACUGGGCGUAAAGCGUACGUAGGCGGUUCGUUAAGUUAGAUGUGAAAGCCCCGGGCUUAACCUGGGAACUGCAUUUAAAACGGGCGAACUAGAGUUGAGUAGAGGGGAGUGGAAUUUCAGGUGUAGCGGUGAAAUGCGUAGAGAUCUGAAGGAACACCAGUGGCGAAGGCGACUCCCUGGACUCGAACUGACGCUGAGGUACGAAAGCGUGGGUAGCAAACGGGAUUAGAUACCCGAGUAGUCC